AAAGUUGGACUUGUUUGGAUCCAAGUCUUUUUAAUAUGAGGUACAUACCAUCCACCUAAUGUUGCAAGUAGUUAGACAAAUUAUAUUGGUUACUGCUACAUAAAUGACUUUGUAAGCAAAGCAUCAGCCAACAGAUAGCUUCCAGCAUUGUUAUUGCUGUACAUGCUGCAAUACAGUGUUCGCUAAUUCCAGGGUACAACAGGUCUUGAAAAUCUCAGAUCAUCUGGAAGAUUUUAGGACAUCUGCUGCUUGUCUGUCUAGGAAAAGAAAGACUGAUGAGAGUACAAAAUCAGAGGAUCAUUAAGGUCCAGGUUUAAAGCCACAGCCAUGUAAAGAGCAGGACAGAAAGGGGCACUAACACAGAGAAGUUCAAAAGAGAAGCUUAUAGGACACAGGAAAAAAGAAAAUCCUGGGAGCAAAAAGAAUGAACAGGUGAAAAUAUAUGUCAUGACAUCCUGGCAGGGCAUACCCCUUUUUACUGCUGGCCAUGAGGGUUUCUGGGGUAUGGCUGUGCAAAGCUGUUGUGUACCAGAAGUGCCACUAAGCUUUUAGGCCUUUAACGCAUGAAAGAAGAAAUGGUGAGUCCCUCUACUUUUUACUUUCCUGUGUCCCAUUUGCAUGAGGGAAUGAAAAUGUAGCCUUCAAUAUAAAUGUCUUACUUGACGAAUAGCUUAUGCUAUGGAAAAUUUUUAAUAAAUUGUUCAUACAUGACAUACUUGGCAAUUAUUUUCCAUUGCUCUAAACUUGUAUAUAUCUUCCUUAUGCAGUCACUUAGUACAUAACUCCAGUGAUGUGUUUUUCCCUCUACACCUGCAGUAAGUUAUUUUUCAUAAGGAUGAGGAAGUGACUCCUGAGACAACACAUUGCUGAGAAGAAUUAGAAGACCAAAGGAAAGCUCCCUUCAGCACAUGAUCGGCAAUGAAAUUGCAGGGACUUGCAGAUAGACAGAGUUGAAUAAACUAUUUCUAUGAAGACAUAAGGAAGAAACAAUCAGAAGUUCAAAGGUGCUCUUGGUCUAACACGUGACGGGAAGCAUUUCUUCCCAGGACCCAGACCAUUGCAAUGCCAUCCUUUGCUUGGACUUUUCUAAUAAAUUUAUGACCCAGGACAUGAAGCUGGGUGAUUAUUCGGAGUGGUAGAAUGCUAAAUAUUUCCCAUCUUGGAGGCUUUGAGAUGGGCCAAACCCAUGUAGAACCAUUAAGCCACUUUCUGAGUUACUUUGCCUUUCUAUGUUCAAAUGAAUUUUCCUUAUUGUAUAGAAGUAAAAAAAUAAAAUAAAAUAAAAAUCUCAAGA